CCGUAAAUUAUUAAUUUUGACUUCUGUUUCAAAAUUCAUGUGUAGAAGAUUAUCUGGUACUGUACCAUGUAAAAUGAAUUUUUUUUCAAAUUUCAAUUUUACUUUUCGGGGGCAGAUCCAGCCAUAUUAAAAAAAGGGGGUUCAAACUAUAUGUCCCACUUCAAAUGCAUUGAUCGGCAAAAAAAAAAAACGGGGUUCCAACACCCAUAACCACUCCCCCUGGAUCCGCCAAUGCUUUUGUAUACACAAUAGCUUACAUAAUGUUUUGUCAGCUUGUUUUAUUUGCUUAGCAAAUGUUUAAUUUACGUUAUGCGG
rnacentral:lncRNA from 1 species